UUGACCUCGGAUCAGGUAGGAAUACCCGCUGAACUUAAGCAUAUCAAUAAGCAGA
rnacentral:rRNA from 1 species